rnacentral:lncRNA from 10 species
CUUGGGUUCCACUAAAUUUAUAAAAUAUUUUUCUAUCUAAAAAAUUAACUUGUUUGCAGUAACUUUUUACUUUAUGAAUUUUAAAAAAUUUUUAAAGUUUUGACCCUUUUUUAGUAACAGCUUAAAAUAGACAUAUUAUAGCUGUACAAAAAUAUUUUUUCUUUAUAUCCUUGCCCUAUAAGCAUUUUUCUAUUUUAAAAGGUUUUGGAGUUUGUUUUUGAGACGGAGUUUUGCUCUCGUCACCAUCACCCAGACUGGAGUGCAGUGGCACGAUCUUGGCUCACUGCAACCUCCGCCUCCUGGAUUCAAGCGAUUCUUCUGCCUCAGCCUCCCAAGUAGCUGGGUCUACAGGUGCCCACCACCAUGCCCGGCUAAUUUUUGUAUUUUUGGUAGAGACGGGGUUUCACCAUGUUGGCCAGGCUGGUCUUGAACUCCUGACCUCAGGUGAUCCACCCACCUCAGCCUCCCAAUGUGCUUGGAUUACAGACGUGAGCCACCACGCCUGGCUUAAAAGUUUUUGUUGUUGUUGUUGUUGUUGUUGUUUUUCCUUUAAAAUUUUUUGUUAAAAACCAAGAUGUAAACACAUGCAUUAGCAUAGGCCUGCACAGGGUCAGUAUCAUCAGUAUCAUUGUCUUCCAUCUUUGUAUCUUGUCCCACCGGAAGGUCUUCAGAGACAAUUACACACAUGACUCUGUCAUCUUGAUGUUAAUGUCUUUUUCUGGAAUACCUCUUCAAGGACCUCCCUGAGCUGUUUGACAGUUAACUUCUGAUUUUUUUUUUAAAUAAGUAGAAGGAAUACACUCUAAAAUAAUGAUAAGAAGUGUAGUAAAUGCAUAAAUCAGUAUCAUAGUCAUUUAUUACCAUUAUCAAGUAUUACGUGCUGUACAUAUGUAUGUGCUAUACUUUCAUAUAGUCAUAUGCAUAUAGCAGUGCAGUAGGUUUACACCAGCAUCACCAUAAACACGUGAGUAAUGUGUUGUGUUAUGAAGGCUGUGAUAAUCCUUAGGUGCUAGGAAUUUUUCACCAACAUAGUCUUAUGGGACCACUAUCAUUUAUGCAGUCCAUUGUUGACUGAAAUGUCAUUAUGCAGUGCGUGAUUGUAUUGAUACAGCAACUAGAAUGGAUCCCAAAAGAAUUGCAGGCACACCUAGGAGAUA